CUGACGAGUGGCGGACGGGUGAGUAAUGUCUGGGAAACUGCCUGAUGGAGGGGGAUAACUACUGGAAACGGUAGCUAAUACCGCAUAACGUCGCAAGACCAAAGAGGGGGACCUUCGGGCCUCUUGCCAUCGGAUGUGCCCAGAUGGGAUUAGCUAGUAGGUGGGGUAACGGCUCACCUAGGCGACGAUCCCUAGCUGGUCUGAGAGGAUGACCAGCCACACUGGAACUGAGACACGGUCCAGACUCCUACGGGAGGCAGCAGUGGGGAAUAUUGCACAAUGGGCGCAAGCCUGAUGCAGCCAUGCCGCGUGUAUGAAGAAGGCCUUCGGGUUGUAAAGUACUUUCAGCGGGGAGGAAGGGAGUAAAGUUAAUACCUUUGCUCAUUGACGUUACCCGCANAAGAAGCACCGGCUAACUCCGUGCCAGCAGCCGCGGUAAUACGGAGGGUGCAAGCGUUAAUCGGAAUUACUGGGCGUAAAGCGCACGCAGGCGGUUUGUUAAGUCAGAUGUGAAAUCCCCGGGCUCAACCUGGGAACUGCAUCUGAUACUGGCAAGCUUGAGUCUCGUAGAGGGGGGUAGAAUUCCAGGUGUAGCGGUGA
rnacentral:rRNA from 1 species